AUUGAACGCUGGCGGCAGGCCUAACACAUGCAAGUCGAACGGUAACAGGAAGAAGCUUGCUUCUUUGCUGACGAGUGGCGGACGGGUGAGUCAUGUCUGGGAAACUGCCUGAUGGAGGGGGAUAACUACUGGAAACGGUAGCUAAUACCGCAUAACUUCGCAAGCCCAAAGAGGGGGACCUUCGGGCCUCUUGCCAUCGGAUGUGCCCAGAUGGGAUUAGCUAGUAGGUGGGGUAACGGCUCACCUAGGCGACGAUCCCUAGCUGGUCUGAGAGGAUGACAGGCCACACGGGAACUGAGACACGGUCCAGACGCCUAAGGGAGGCAGCAGUGGGGAAUAGUGCACAAUGGGGGCAAGCCUGAUGCAGCCAGGCCGCGUGUAUGAAGAAGGCCUUCGGGUUGUAAAGUACGUUCAGCGGGGAGGAAGGGAGUAAAGUUAAUACCUUUGCUCAUUGACGUUACCCGCAGAAGAAGCACCGGCUAACUCCGUG
rnacentral:rRNA from 1 species